rnacentral:misc_RNA from 1 species
GCCAACAUGAGCUCUUCAACAAAACAAAAAGGAACACUUGCAAGAAAAUCAAACAUGUGGCUAUUGAUUAUUGAGCUCUGCAUUUGGAGAAACUGGGUUUGUAAUUCUAACAGACCAUGCCACGUCUAAGUAAAAUGUAAAAGCAAAAGUAUUCAACUUCACCGCUGCCACAGCAGCUGUAAGAACAAUCGAUGCACUAAAAGCAAACAAAAUCACAGAACUUUUUUAUCCUGUGUUUGUAGAGUUAGAAAAUCUCCCAUUAUCUGAACCAGAUUUAUUCCGGCAGAAAAGUUGCAAGUGCUAUCAGUGAUGAUGAUCAUCAUCGUCGUGUCCAUCAGGAGGUCCUCCAGGGCCAACCACCUUCAACACAAAAUACUGUGCGCAUACUGGGCAUUCAUGUGGCUU